UUGGUGCAUGACUGUAGAACUUUAAGCAAUGAUGAAAAUGCUCUAUAUCCACACUAUCCAAUAUGGUAACCACUAGCCACUUGUGACUACUGAGUGUCUGAAAGGUUCUGCUUGAAUUCUUGCCCUGGCUCUUGGUGAAGGAUCGGCCUGCUGGAUCUGAGUCAUCCACCUAUAAGAGGGACAACACCACACAUUGGUCGCUGCUCUCAAGCCCCUGGAAUACCACCCCACUUGGCUUCUCCUGAGAUGGGCUCUCACUAUAGCCCUGUUCUGGAACUCCUGGGCUCAAGCCAUCCUCCCACUUUGGCCUCCCCAAAAUGCUGGGAUUACAGGCGUGAACCACCGCAUCUAGCCUAAAAUUAUAUUGUUAAAAGACUUUGUUUCUCAGUUUGGGAUAAUCAGAAUUCAUAGUUCUGAUCUCGACUACCAGUUUUAAUGAGGUACUUCUUUCUAACUCCAUCAGCUGUGUGGCUAUCUGCAGAUACCACCCACAUAAACAAAAACUUUUUGGGAGUCCUCCAGAAUUUUUAAGAGUUAUCUAAACUAUUGCCUUUAAUGACCAGGAACUCCAAUUUGAGAAGUUACCCUACGUUAAGCCAACAGCAGCCUGGCUCCUUCAUCCUGUGCAGUAUGGGACAGAGCUGGGUCCUUGUUGUCAUCAGCCAGACAAGCACACAUUAAAGCCCACCUUAGCCAUUGGCAUUACAGCUUUAAAAGCAGCUCCAUCCUACCAUGCUGUCACUCUACUCAAUCACGUGAUCUUAACGACCAGCUCUACAUAUCCUCUCUCCAUGCCCCCACCACCAUCCCCCACCAAC